GUUCCCUGGGAUUGUCUUUGGGUUCUUCUUGCGCAGCUUAGGUGGAAGGCAAAGAAGGCUCCCUCUCGGGGGGGCCUGAGCCACCAGUGAGAUACCACUCUGGAAGAGAUAGAAUUGUAACCUUGUGUCAGGACCUACGGACCAAGGUACAGUCUCAGGUAGACAGUUUCUAUGGGGUGUAGGCCUCCCAAAAGGUAACAGAGGCGUGCAAAGGUUUCCUCGAGCCGGACAAAAAUCGACCCUCGAGUGCAAAGGCAGAAGGGAGCUUGACUGCAAGACCCACCCGUCGAGCAGGGAUGAAAGUCAGCCUUAGUUAUCUGACGGUGCUGAGUGGAAGGGUCGUCGCUCAAUGGAUAAAAGUUAAUCUAGGGAUAACAGGCUGAUCUUCCCCAAGAGUUCACAUCGACAGGAAGGUUUGGCACCUCGAUGUUGGCUCUUCGCCACUUGGGGUGGUAGUACGUUCCAAGGGUUGGGUUGUUCGCCCAUUAAAGCGGUACAUGAGAUGGGUUCAGAACAUCAUGAGACAGUUUAGUCCAUAUCCGGUGCGGGUGUUAGAGCAUUGAGAGGACCUGUCCCUAGUAUGAGAAGACCAGGAAGGAAGCACCUCUGGUGUACCAGUUAUCGUGCCCACGGUAGACACUGGGUAGACAAGUGCAGAGCAGAUAACUACUGAAAGAAUAUAAGUAGGAAGCCCACCCCAAGAUGAGUUCUCUCCUAUUCUUACUUCUUUGAGAGCCCUAGUCGCGAACACGGCUGGGACAACGACGGGUUCUCUGUCCUUGCAGGGGAUGGAGAGACAAAAGUAUUGAGAAUCCAAGAUAAGGUCACAGAGAGACGAGCCAUUUAUCAUUAUGAUAGGUGUCAAGUGGAAGUGCAGUGAUGUAUGCAGCUGAGGCAUCCUAACAGACCGAGAGAUUUGAACCU
rnacentral:ncRNA from 1 species